rnacentral:rRNA from 1 species
GCCUCACCCCUAGCCCACCCGUUCCUCCAAAAGCCAGACAAAAACCAACCAAACCAUUUGCCCCCCCCAGUAUAUGAGAUAGAACAGCCCAUUCGGCGCAAUAGCACACCCGUACCACAAGGAACCAGUGAAAGAAAACCAAACAAUCAAAGCACAAAAAAGCAGGGAUCAGCCCCCGUACCUCCUGCAUCAUGGUUUAGCAAGCACAAGCAGGUAUAGAGAACUAUAAUCUGCCCACCCGAACCCAGACGAGCUACCUCCGGGCAGUCACAAGGACCAACCCAGCUCUGUGGCAAAAGAGCGGGACGACCUUGAGGUAGUGGUGAAACACCAACCGAGCCUGGCAAUAGCUGGUUGCUCACUAAAUGAAUCUAAGUUCAACUCUAGUGCCCCCAAGUACUAAAAAAUACCCAGCACUAGAAGAUAGGCCCCAGAGGAACAGCUCUGGGGCCACUGGAUACAGCCAAAACUAGAGGGCCCACAACCUCCUUUUCCCACCCGUAGGCCCUCAAGCAGCCACCAAAAAAAAUCGCGUCAAAGCAACCCAAAAACCAACCCAACAACAGAACUUCCUCCCCUACAUCAAACUGAGCCACCCUAUCAAACCAUAGGGGAACUACUGCUAAAACUAGUAAUAAGAGCACCUCUCUCGCUGCACCCGCUUUCGAACAAAAUCAAUUACCAACUAUAUACACUAAAACCAAGACCACAUACCACACAAACCUGUAACCCCGACCCAGGAGUGCACCACCACAGAUUAACUGCCCUAGAAGGAACUCGGCUAACGUACCCCACCUGUUUACCAAAAACCGCCUUUAGCCUAACAAGUAUUAAAGGUCCCGCCUGCCCAGUGAGAAAACACUUUAACGGCCGCGGUAUCCUAACCGUGCAAAGGUAGCGCAAUCACUUGUCCCCUAAAUAGGGACCAGUAUGAACGGCUAACUGAGGGUAUACCUGUCUCCUAGGGCCAAUCAAUGAAACUGAUCCCCCAGUACAAAAGCUGGAAUAUUAUCACAAGACGAGAAGACCCUGUGGAGCUUUAAACUUCCCCGCUACCAUGCCACGCCACCACAUGCGGCUAAAACAACAUGAAAUAGCGGCCAUUUUAAGUUGGGGCGACUGCGGGGCAAAACAAACCCCCCAUGAAAUACGGCUCCCCGCCCUUAGAGGCCCACAUGCCAACAAGACCACCACACUUGACCCAGACCAAACUGAGCAACGAACCAAGUUACCCCAGGGAUAACAGCGCCAUCCCCCUCAAGAGUCCCUAUCGCCAGGGGGGUUUACGACCUCGAUGUUGGAUCAGGACACCCCAGUGGUGCAGCCGCUACUAAAGGUCCGUUUGUUCAACGGCUAACGUCCUACGUGAUCUGAGUUCAGACCGGAGCAAUCCAGGUCGGUUUCUAUCUGUGCCAUAUCUUCUUCAGUACGAAAGGACCAAGAAGACAGUACCAAUGCCCACCGCACGCACUGCCAACACCGGUUGAACAAAAAUCAAACUAAAUAUCAGACAACUGCUGUCCGAUAUAAGGACAA